UACGUAGGUGCGAAGCGUUGUCGGAAUUAUUGGGCGUAAAGAGCUCGUAGGCGGUUUGUCGCGUCUGCUGUGAAAACUCAGGGCUUAACCCUGAGCUUGCAGUGGGUACGGGCAGACUAGAGUGCGGUAGGGGAGACUGGAAUUCCUGGUGUAGCGGUGAAAUGCGCAGAUAUCAGGAGGAACACCGGUGGCGAAGGCGGGUCUCUGGGCCGUAACUGACGCUGGAGGAG
rnacentral:rRNA from 1 species